GUUAACACCGCUCUGACAUUACUGUGUCUCUGUGGCGGGAACAACAGGCUCCGUCAGUGGAGGCAAAAAUAAUCAGACUUUGGUUUUUCAAAGGAAACAACUUUAUGUCGGAAGUUCCCGCACGCUCAUUGGAUAACGAUGUGUCAAUCUCGAGCUAUUAGCCAAUGAGCGUGCGGACUCACAGAAAGACCCGCCUUCAUCACGGGACUUUAAAAACUACAAUGGCGACAGAAACUCCGUGAGUGGAGUUCAGGCUGACGUCAUGAAACUGUGACGUUUGAGCCACUUCCUGUUCUCAGUCCCAGCGUCCUGAUCACCGAGGUUUCUGUUGCUCUGAUAUCUGAUAUUGAUUAUAUUGGUAAACAGGCUGUAGCAGAACUAUCAGACUAACUCCACCCUGACAUCAAGAAGAUGGAGGAAGAGGAUGGAGCAGGAUCUGCAGCAUCCAGCUGUGUGUCUGUGAGGAGUGACCGGUCCAAAGAUAAACCUCCAGGGUUCAGUAAUGAACCUGCAGCAACAAUAGUGGAGCAGGAGAGAGCAGAGGUUUCCACUGGUCAGUCUGCACAGCAACAUCAAACACACCUGGACUCUGUGGUUAUGCGGCUGGAGGACAACAUCACCAUGUUUGUGAAGAACGAGCUGAAGAAGAUCCAGAAGCUUCUGAGUCCAGAUCACCCAGAAACUUUAAAGAGCCAGAUGGAGGAUGAGGAGAUGUUUGGAGGUGAGGAUGAAGAUGAAAGAAAGAGCUGCAGAGAAGCAUUUCUGAAGAUCACACUCCACUUCUUGAGGAGACUUAAGCAGCAUGAGAUGGCUGACCAUCUGCAGAGCAAAAUAUUUGCUUCACUCUGUAAACGUGAACUUAAAGCCCAACUGAAGAAGAAGUUCCAGUGUGUGUUUGAGGGCAUCGCUAAAGCAGGAAGCCCAACCCUCCUGAAUCAGAUCUACACAGAGCUCCACAUCACAGAGGGAGGGACUGCAGAGGUCAAUGAUGAACAUGAGGUCAGACAGAUUGAAACAGCAUCCAGGAAACCAGACAGAGCAGAAACAACCAUCAGACAAGAAGACAUCUUUAAAGGCUCACCUGGAAGAGACGAACCAAUCAGAACAGUGCUGACAAAGGGAGUGGCUGGCAUUGGGAAAACAGUCUUAACACAGAAAUACAGCCUGGACUGGGCUGAAGACAAAGCCAACCAGGACAUCCAGUUCAUAUUUCCAUUCACUUUCAGAGAGCUGAAUGUGCUGAAAGAGGAAAAGUUCAGCUUGGUGGAACUUGUUCAUCACUUCUUUAAUCAAACUAACCAAUCAGGAAUCUGCAGGCUUGAAGACUUCCAGGUUGUGUUCAUACUUGAUGGUCUGGAUGAGUGUCGACUUAAUUUGGACUUCAACAAAACUAAAAUCCUGACUGAAACAAGAAAGUCCACCUCAUUGGAUGAGCUGCUGACAAACCUCAUCAGAGGAAACCUGCUCCCUUCUGCUCGCCUUUGGAUAACAACACGACCUGCAGCAGCCAAUCAGAUCCCUCCUCAGUGUGUCGACAUGGUGACAGAGGUCAGAGGGUUCACUGACCCACAGAAGGAGGAGUACUUCAGGAAGAGAUUCAGAGAUGAGGAGCAGGCCAGCAGGAUCAUCUCCCACAUCAAGAAAGCUCGAAGCCUCCACAUCAUGUGUCACAUCCCAGUCUUCUGCUGGAUCACUGCUACAGUUCUGGAGGAUGUGCUGGAAACCAGAGAGGGAGGACAGCUGCCCAAGACCCUGACUGAGAUGUACAUCCACUUCCUGGUGGUUCAGGCCAAAGUCAAGAGGAUCAAAUAUGAUGGAGGAGCUGAGACAGAUCCACACUGGAGUCCAGAGAGCAGGAAGAUGAUUGAGUCACUGGGAAAACUGGCUUUUGAUCAGCUGCAGAAAGGAAACCUGAUCUUCUAUGAACCAGACCUGACAGAGUGUGGCAUCGAUAUCAGAGCAGCCUCAGUGUACUCAGGAGUGUUCACACAGAUCUUUAAAGAGGAGAAACAACUGUACCAGAACAAGGUGUUCUGCUUUGUUCAUCUCAGUGUUCAGGAGUUUCUGGCUGCUCUUCAUGUCCACCUGACCUUCAUCAACUCUGGACUCAAUCUGCUGGAAGAACAACAAACAACGUCCAUGUGGCCUAAAUUAUUUGAUAAACCAAAACUCCAAUCUCUCCACCAGUGUGCUGUGGACAAGGCCUUACAGAGCCCCAAUGGACACCUGGACUUGUUCCUUCGUUUUCUCUUGGGUCUGAAGACUAAUCAAACUCGUUUGCAAGGCCUGAUGACACAGACAGGAAGUAGCGCACAGACCAAUCAAGAAGCAGUUCAGUACAUCAAGAAGAAGCUCAGUGAGAAUCUGUCUGCAGAGAAAAGCAUCAAUCUGUUCCACUGUCUGAAUGAACUGAAUGAUCGUUCUCUACUGGAGGAGAUCCAACAGUCCCUGAGAUCAGGACGU